rnacentral:rRNA from 1 species
AAUCAACGCUGGCGGCGUGCCUAACACAUGCAAGUCGAACGCGAAAAGGGGCAACCCUGAGUAGAGUGGCGUCCGGGUGAGUAACACGUGGAUAAUCUGCCUGCGGGCGGGGAAUAACUUUCCGAAAGGGGAGCUAAUACCGCAUAACACCGUAAUAGGGCAUCCUGAUACGGUCAAAGAGGGGGAUCGCAAGACCUCUCGCCUGCAGAGGAGUCCGCGGCCGAUUAGCUAGUUGGCGAGGUAACGGCUCACCAAGGCAGCGAUCGGUAGCCGGCCUGAGAGGGCGAACGGCCACACUGGCACUGAAAUACGGGCCAGACUCCUACGGGAGGCAGCAGUGGGGAAUUUUGGGCAAUGGCCGAAAGGCUGACCCAGCAAACGCCGCGUGAAGGAUGACGGCCUGGUGUAAC